GGUGACCUACGGGGCGCAGCAGUGAGGAAUAUUGGUCAAUGGACGCAAGUCUGAACCAGCCAAGUGGCGUGCAGGAUGACGGCCCUCCGGGUUGUAAACUGCUUUUAGUUGGGAAUAAAAGGGGGCUCGUGAGCCCCGUAUUGUAUGUACCAUCAGAAAAAGGACCGGCUAAUUCCGUGCCAGCAGCAGCGGUAAUACGGAAGGUCCGGGCGUUAUCCGGAGUUAUUGGGUUUAAAGGGAGCGUAGGCCGACUUUUAAGUCAGCUGUGAAAGUCCGCGGCUCAACCGGGGCAUUGCAGUUGAAAG
rnacentral:rRNA from 1 species